ACAUGCCUACAACAUAGAGUUAAUGCACUGGCUCCCAUUAGAACUCCACAAUUAAGCGUGCUCAGGAUAGAGUAGUACUGGGAUGGGUGAUCGCUCGGGAAGUCCUAGUGUUCUACAUGCC
rfam:Picea glauca, whole genome shotgun sequence.